rnacentral:rRNA from 1 species
AUUGAACGCUGGCGGCAUGCUUUACACAAUGCAAGUCGAACGGCAGCGCGGGGGCAACCCUGGCGGCGAGUGGCGAACGGGUGAGUAAUAUAUCGGAACGUACCCAGAAAGUUGGGGGGAUAACGUAAGCGAAAGUUACGCUAAUACCGCAUUACGAUCUACGGAUGAAAGUGGGGGACCUUCGGGCCUCAAUGCUUUUGGAGCGGCCGAUAUCUGAUUAGCUAGUUGGUGAGGUAAAGGCUCACCCAAGGACGACGAUCAGUAGCUGGUCUGAGAGGACGACCAGCCACACUGGAACUGAGACACGGUCCAGGCUCCUACGGGAGGCAGCAGUGGGGGAAUUUUGGA